rnacentral:rRNA from 1 species
ACUCCUACGGGAGGCAGCAGUGGGGAAUAUUGCACAAUGGGGGAAACCCUGAUGCAGCCAUGCCGCGUGUGUGAAGAAGGCCUUGGGUUGUAAAGCACUUUCAGUAGGGAGGAAGGUAGUGUAGUUAACACCUGCAUUAUUUGACGUUACCUACAGAAGAAGCACCGGCUAACUCCGUGCCAGCAGCCGCGGUAAUACGGAGGGUGCGAGCGUUAAUCGGAAUUACUGGGCGUAAAGCGCAUGCAGGCGGCUUGUUAAGUCAGAUGUGAAAGCCCGGGGCUUAACCUCGGAAUUGCAUUUGAAACUGGCAGGCUAGAGUCUUGUAGAGGGGUUAGAAUUUCAGGUGUAGCGGUGAAAUGCGUAGAGAUCUGAAGGAAUACCAGUGGCGAAGGCGGCCCCUGGACAAAGACUGACGCUCAGAUGCGAAAGCGUGGGAGCAAACAGGAUUAGAUACCCCUGGUAGACUGUCA